rnacentral:rRNA from 1 species
CCUACGGGAGGCAGCAGUGAGGAAUAUUGGUCAAUGGGCGCAAGCCUGAACCAGCCAAGUCGCGUGAAGGAUGACUGCCCUACGGGUUGUAAACUUCUUUUAUCAAGGAAUAAAGUGAGGCACGUGUGCCUGUUUGUAUGUCCUUUAAGAAUAAGCAUCGGCAAACUCCGUUCCAGCAGCCGCGGUAAUACGGAGGAUCCGGGCGUUAUCCGGAUUUAUUGGGUUUAAAGGGAGCGAAGGUGGGUUGUUAAGUCAGCGGUAAAAAUUCGGGGCUCAACCCCGGCCUGCCGUUGAAACUGGGGGCCUUGAGAGGGCGAGAGGAAGGCGGAAUGCGGGGUGUAGCGGUGAAAUGCGUAGAUAUCACGCAGAACCCCGAUGGCGAAGGCAGCCUUCCGGAG